UUCGAUUCGAAUUCUUCUGAUUGUAAUUCAUUAGACACGUAUUCGAGAUCAACAGGUUCCUAAAAAAUGAAUUAAUAUGAUUAUCAUUAAUCUACAGAAGAAAAAAUAUGAUACAUAAUUUAAACGAACUAUUAGUUCGUUAAAAUCAAUUAAAAAAUGAAGAGAGUUUUUAAUUAUAUAUUGGCAUAAACGACGACCGCCACUGGGUGGACGCUUGUCAGAUGGUGGUGGUCGUGGUGGACGACCGCCUGGUGGUGGGCGGGGUGGACGACCGCCUGGUGGUGGGCGGGGUGGACGUUUACCUGGAGGUGGUCGUGGUGGACGACCGCCUGGUGGUGGAGGUCUUGGAGGUUCAUCAGAGGGUGGUCGUGGGCGUUCGCCAGAAGGUGGUCGUGGUGGUCGACGUCCAUCAGAAGGUGGUCGAUAAUCAUCGUCAAAUUCCUCAACGUUGGAUUGUUCUAAUUCGUAGAUGACGGGCUCAUAUUUAAGAUCGAGAAGAUACUGAAAAAUGAAUUAAUAUGAUUAUUAUUUCUCUAUAGAAAAAUACAAUUCUCUAAAGAAAAAUAAAAGAAAAAAGAUUUUGAACAAAUUAUCAAUCUCUUGUAUUAUAUAGAAAGUGAAAACAAUUUUAGAUUGUAUGUUGAUUCUCCUGGAUCUUCAACUUCUACCUCUGAUACUGCCGAUUGUGUCGCAAUACAUAGUAUUGCUAAUAGUAAGGAAAUAAUAAACUUCCUCAUUGUUGAUCAAUCUUAAGAAGCCAUUUAAACUGAAAAAUAUUGUAAAACGGACAUGUUAAUUAAAAAGCACAAAUAAAAAAUUUGUAUAAUGUA
rnacentral:lncRNA from 1 species